UACGGAGGGGGCUAGCGUUGUUCGGAAUUACUGGGCGUAAAGCGCACGUAGGCGGUUUCUAAGUUAGAGGUGAAAGCCUGGAGCUCAACUCCAGAAUUGCCUUUAAGACUGGAUCACUUGAAUCAUGGAGAGGCGGGUGGAAUUCCGAGUGUAGAGGUGAAAUUCGUAGAUAUUCGGAAGAACACCAGUGGCGAAGGCGGCCCGCUGGACAUGUAUUGACGCUGAGGUGCGAAAGCGUGGGGAGCAAACAGG
rnacentral:rRNA from 1 species